rnacentral:snRNA from 1 species
GUGCUCGCUUCGGCAGCACACAUACUAAAAUUGGAACAAUACAGAGAGGAUUAGCAUGGCCCCUGUGCAAGGACGACACACAAAUUCAUGAAGCGUUCCAUAUUUUU